rnacentral:lncRNA from 1 species
CCAGAGCCAACAGAUAACUCUUAAGGCAAAACUCAAUUUUAGAGGAAACCAAGCUUCCAGUAUCUCGAAGCUUAAGCCUCAUAGAUCCAUGGGUGAAGGUUGCUCCUCCACUCUGCCAGGCCUUCAGGGAACCAAAGAGCAAUCUCCUUCUUUCCAUUCUCCACGGAGUCACUUCCAUGGAUGACAUUCCUACACAAGACGCAACAGAUUUAGCGCAGGACCAAACAUGCAGGGAUUCAGGAAUCAUGUGCACAACCCAGAGUUAGCAUCUAAGUUUAGCAUGAUAACCAACAGCCAAGCACAGAUGAUAAUCUACUUCAUACUUUAAACAAACCAAUAUUAUUUACUUCAUGCUUUAAACAGAUGAUAAUCUACUUCAUACUUUUAGCAUACCUUAAACAAACCAAUUAUCAUCAAUUCAUCACGCAACUAAAUAUUACGUGCUUGAAUAAUCUUUUCUUUUUCUAAAACCACGCAUACAUAUUUCAGAAUGGGGCAUAUCCUCACGCACACGCUGUUUAUUUGAUACAUUUAUUUGACUGGCAAUGAUUAAAUACAUAAACCACAUUUACUUACAUUGAAUAUCAUGUGCGUUCAGCACGGCUCCCCAACCAUGGCCGUGGCAUUGAAUCACAAAAUUGUCGUGACAAUGCUCAAAAACUAAAAUAGGUACUAUAAAGUACAACUAAUGACAAAGAAAAGAUUGUUCACCUGCCAACUUCCACGGCAUAGUCACCACGGAUGGUGCCAGGGGCAGCCUCCCAAGGCCUGGUGGCCCCAAUGAUCCUGCGUCCAGUCAACACAACGUCCUUCCCCUCCCACACCAUUGCGACAACAGGGCCAGAAAUGAUGUACUCCACCAACCCAGGGAAGAAGGGCUUAUCAGAAAGGUCAGCAUAGUGCUGCUGUGCAAAGGACUUCUCCACAUUCAUGAACUUCAUCCCUGCAUCACAUCAAGUUAAAAACAAUUCAUUAACACAACAAUUGCUGAGCUGCUUAUGUUUGUACUUAGGUUGCUUAUUCAUGGAUGAUUCAUCAAGGUAAACAUAAGGAGAGUUGAACAAAAUUGUCUCUCAUAAGGUUUUGUUUUGCUUUAUCUUGAGAAAAUCUUGACUGAAAAGUUUGUUCUGUAUGGUACCCACAGUAAUGACUGGCCAAGGAUAUAUAGAUUAUUAUCUUCUGUUGGAGUCAUUCAUGUUUUUUUACCUUAGUACUUAUGUGCCGUUAAUCUAUAAUUCAUGAUAAGACUUUACAGCGCAUCAGCAGCUGCACUUAAUUUCAGAAUGCUAGGACCAUCGGCUGUCCAGAUAGAAAGGAACCAAUCAUUGGCGCAUAACAGAAGAUCUUGAUUUUUCAAUCAAUCAAAUGUCCACACAAUAUUCCUGCUACCAGCUACCACACCGCAAUAUCUGUUUUCUUCUAGACGCUAAUCAUACCCCAUUACGUGUCCUUGCAAAACACAGCGAAGAUAAAUCAAACAAAUUUAAGAGGCCACUGGACUGCGAAUUCCAGGUCUACGUGAAUCAAAUCUUAGCCUAAAUAACAGGCAAAUUCAUACUUAGAGUACGAGGUCCAGAAAUCAAUUUUAUAAUUAUAUAAAAAAAAAUUCUCCCUUACCCUUGAGGUAGAAUCCUUUCUUCUCGAACCGACUGAUGAUGUCUCCGACCUACACAAGAAACUCCCGAUCAAAAAACCAUACAACACAUGGCGCCGAGACCCAAUCACCAAAACGAAAUCAAAGCUUGUCGCAAACAAACACCAAGCCGCGGCCGGGAUCAAUUAAAUACGCUAGAAUCUUCUCCGGAAACGGGAAACAAGAACCAGAUUACCAGGCCCCUCUGGACGCCGUCGGGCUUGAUCAUGAUGAAGGUCUGCUCCAUCCUUGCAGCGACGGGCGAAGCGGGUCGGCGAAGCGCAGCGCAGCAGGUGAUGAGUGCGUGAGGCUGUGGGGAGCGCAAGGCGGAUGGGGAAGGAGAGGAGGAGUCGUGGGGGUGGCGAAAGAGACGGACGGGCUUGUUUUAUGC